rnacentral:rRNA from 1 species
AUUGAACGCUGGCGGCAGGCCUAACACAUGCAAGUCGAGCGGACGAACGGAGCUUUUUCCUGGCUUCAGCUGCGGACGGGUGGGUAAUUCCUAGGUAUCUGCCUGGCAUUUGGGGCUAACGUCAGUAAGCGGGCGCUAAUAUCGCAUACGUCCUGAGGUUGAAAGGGGGGGAUCUUCGGAGCUCACGCUAUCUGCUGAGCCUAGGUCGGAUUAGCUAGUUGGUGUGGUAAAGGCCUACCAAGGCGACGAUCCGUAACUGGUCUGAGAGGAUGAUCAGUCACACUGGAACUGAGACACGGUCCAGACUCCUACGGGAGGCAGCAGUAGGGAAUCUUGGACAAUGGGCGAAAGCCUGAUGCAGCCAUGCCGCGUGUGUGAAGAAGGUCUUCGGAUUGUAAAGCUCUUUAAGUAGGGAAGAAGAGCAGUGUGUUAAUACCUGGAUGUUUUGACGGUACCUAAAGAGAAAGCACCGGCUAACUACGUG